rnacentral:rRNA from 1 species
AUGAACGCUGGCGGCGUGCCUAAUACAUGCAAGUCGAGCGAACAGACGAGGAGCUUGCUCCUCUGACGUUAGCGGCGGACGGGUGAGUAACACGUGGAUAACCUACCUAUAAGACUGGGAUAACUUCGGGAAACCGGAGCUAAUACCGGAUAAUAUAUUGAACCGCAUGGUUCAAUAGUGAAAGACGGUUUUGCUGUCACUUAUAGAUGGAUCCGCGCCGCAUUAGCUAGUUGGUAAGGUAACGGCUUACCAAGGCAACGAUGCGUAGCCGACCUGAGAGGGUGAUCGGCCACACUGGAACUUAGACACGGUCCAGACUCCUACGGGAGGCAGCAGUAGGGAAUCUUCCGCAAUGGGCGAAAGCUUGACGGAGCAACGCCGCGUGAGUGAUGAAGGUCUUCGGAUCGUAAAACUCUGUUAUUAGGGAAGAACAAAUGUGUAAGUAACUAUGCACGUCUUGACGGUACCUAAUCAGAAAGCCACGGCUAACUACGUG